UGGGGAAUCUUCCGCAACGGACGAAAGUCUGACGGAGCAACGCCGCGUGUAUGAUGAAGGUCUUCGGAUUGUAAAGUACUGUCAUUGGGGAAGAACGGUUUUCUUGAGAAUAUUGAGAAGACAUGACGGUACCCAAGGAGGAAGCCCCGGCUAACUACGUGCCAGCAGCCGCGGUAAUACGUAGGGGGCAAGCGUUGUCCGGAAUUAUUGGGCGUAAAGGGCGCGUAGGCGGGCCUUUAAGUCCGGUGUGAAAGAUCAGGGCUCAACCCUGAGAGUGCAUCGGAAACUGGAGGCCUUGAGGACAGGAGAGGAAAGUGGAAUUCCACGUGUAGCGGUGAAAUGCGUAGAUAUGUGGAGGAACACCAGUGGCGAAGGCGACUUUCUGGACUGUAACUGACGCUGAGGCGCGAAAAGCGUGGGGAGCAAAACAGGAUUAGAUACCCUGGUAGUCCACGCCGUAAACGAUGAGUGCUAGGUGUAGAGGGUAUCGACCCCCUUCUGUGCCGCAGUUAACACAAUAAGCACUCCCGCCUGGGGAGUACGGCCGCAAGGUUUGAAACUCAAAAUGAAUUGACGGGGUCAUAGCUG
rnacentral:rRNA from 1 species